GACAGUAUGGUGUAGUGGUUAUCACGUCUGCCUCACACGCAAAAGGUCCCCAGUUCGAGCCUGGGUACUGUCA
rnacentral:tRNA from 1 species